UACAGAGGGUGCAAGCGUUAAUCGGAAUUACUGGGCGUAAAGCGAGCGUAGUCGGUUAUUUAAGUCGGGUGUGAAAGCCCCCGGGCUCAACCUGGGAAUUGCAUUCGAUACUGGAUAGCUAGAGUUCGGCAGAGGGAAGCGGAAUUUCCGGUGUAGCGGUGAAAUGCGUAGACAUCGGAAGGAACAUCAGUGGCGAAAGCGGCUUCCUGGACCAGAACUGACGAUCAGGCUCGAAAGCGUGGGGAGCAAACAGG
rnacentral:rRNA from 1 species